AGGGCAGUUUCUAAGCUGGUGGUUUUGCUCCACAUUAUUCUGCCCAUGUUCUCCACUUCUAUGGUGGUUAAGAUAUAGUUCUCCCCCACCACUGGUGUCUCACGUUCUCCACUUCUCCCCCACCCACGUUUUCCGAUUUGUCCUCUCAACGACCAUAGGCCACCCAUUAUAUAAACCCUCCACCACCCACUAUUGCCAAAUUCGUUCUAUCAAUCUUUAUUCGCCAACUACCACUAUUUCACCCUGCAAUCGUCGGUUUACAUACCUUCUAGAGAGAAGCUACAAGUACUAUUGAAGAGGGCUUUGAAUCUUCCGUUGGAUUUAUCAAGUUCGUAGCCGGUAACGCCGAUUGGAAGAAUGCCCUCCGUGAAUUCGUGCGCAAAUAACAGCCCCAUUUCUCGCUUCUGUUGCAAUCGAGUUCCACAAGGACGCCACCGACUCCCAACCGUCAGAUCGAACAAAGAAUUUUGGAUCACAUUAGAUCUAAAUUUUGUCAUGAAAAUGUUUUAAUAGCAAAACUUGAAUCUCGGUUACUUGGUUCAACACUACGGUUAUCGGUUGUUAUCAUUUUACGGUCUCCCGCUAUCUCAAUCUGUGGUUAAAGUCACCACAGGCCCAGCUCCACCAGUUGCCAAUGGAGCCAAGUAUGAAUUAAACACACCUCCUGUGGAUGAAAAGGCGGUAGCAGACGGGGAUACAGUGACAGUUUACGUUAGUACCUUAACUCCCAGAGAAGCAGCGUGUGUUCCACAAGCCGUACAAGUGGCAGCAGUCGAACGGGCCAAAGCACGGGCUCAAAGGAACUACACGAAGGCAGAUGCACUCCAUAAGCAAAUUACUGAUGCGGGCUAUCGGAUGCUAAAUAAGUAAAUAUACAUAAUGAGGAGAUUCUAGCCCGGAAAUAUCGAAUUAGACUAUGGUAAGAUGCUUGGUAAUGAUCAAAAGUUUUAGAUGUGUGGUGCUGAUGAUUACGGUAUCUUUUAACGGUAUGUAUGAGUCAGUGUUAUUAUGUUAGUCUGUUUUGGUGGUAGGUUUUGGAGUAUGAUCAUUGAUUCCAUCUGGUAUUAUCUGAUCUGGUUUGAUCUUCUUACCUUAGCUCCUGUUAUAAUACUUGAAGUCUAAUUACUCGACUUCAGAUGCCAUUUGACAUGUUCGGUUUUUGUUAUGGGUGGAUGGUCAUUUGAGGUUAGUUUGGUGGGUUAAGUUUGGGCCAGGGGCCUUUGGGUUGACUAUAAUGAUGUCUAUUAUUAGCUUAGAUUUUAUUGACUUUUUAAGAGAGAGCCGUCUUGUCUUCUUCUUGAUAAAUGCUAGAAUGCUCAAGGGGAUCACUGAUGCUGUAUAGGGUUCUCCUGAUUCAUCUGGUCACUGACAAUUUUAAGCAAACGUUUUUGUUUAUUUUGUUUACGUUUACGUGGCAAUACAAUGGUUGUUUAUGAUUCAGUUUACUCUUAGUGGUGUUGGAGGCAUUAUAGAUCUGAUGGAGAGCACAAGCUACCUAUUUUCUUAAUCGUCUAUGCAGGUUCUUUUUUAUUGUGAAUUUAUUAUGGGGUCAACGCCACUGUAUAUAUCUGUGUUUCUUCUGCUAUUAUAGUGCCUUUUUAACAUUCAAACACUCAAUGGCUUCAUUGCUCGUCACUGCCAGCUUCUGUAAUAUUUUUUAAGAUUUGCUUUUAACAUAUUUUUUAUUAGUCUCUUACGUAGCAAGUGUGGAUAGGAGUGUAGGACUCAUUUCUUUUGUUGCUUGUAAAAUCAGAUAGAAUAUUGGACAAGGUUAUGUUCUACUGAUUUGUGGCUUCAGUCUUCUAUUAUUUGAUCAAGCAAUAUAAAAACGGCUAACCUGUUUGUAACAACAGUGGGAAAAAGAUGAUAGAGAUAAGAGAAUUGGGUUGUGGGCUUCAGCAAAUCCUGAAAAACCAUGGGAGUGGAGGAAGAAUUGUCGUGAACAAAGAUAAAUUAUAAGUUAGCCAUAAAACUCAGUUGAAAAUAACCAUUUUUAUGAGAAGACAAAGAGGUGUAAAAAUGUAUCCAUAUGUUUAUUACAUUCUAAAUUGUUUUAUAAAAAAAUAGUUAAAUAUUGUACUUUUUGUAACUGAAUUAUUAGUAGUUGGGUAUGAAGAGAUGGAUCGUUAAUGUA